CUAGUUCCUUCGAUAUCAGUGUAAUCUAAUAAUCAUGAUAUUUGCUGUGUAAUGUACAUUACACCAAUACGGCAAACAUCAUGAUUAUUAGAUUACACUGAUAUCGAAGGAACUA